GCAGUCAAUGAGCGUGGAUUCCACUGGUCUCUUAUAGUUGUGCAACCGAAAGACAACAAAGUUUUGUACAUAAAUCCGAUGGGGGAGCAGAAUGUUUCCCAGCAACAGAUCCUGCAACAAUGGAUGUAAAUGUGUACAUUAUUUAAUUAAACAGUAAAUUUGUGCACAUUCGGCGCUUAUCCAGCAUUGAUAUGGGCGGACCAAUACAUUGGAACAUACUCUGCCCACGUCAUGCAAAACAGUCAGAUUCAAUAUCUUGCGGUGUCUACGUUUUAAAGUAAGCAGAAUGCUACCUGCAGAAUCAAUCCCUAGAGUUUGUGCUCAGCAAAACACAACUACUAGAAGAACGGAGACAAAUAGCCAGAAGACUGCUUUCUGAAGGGGAAUUCAUUGAAGGUCAUCUAGAAGAGAUAGCAAGUAGCCCAUCAGUCGAACAUGAGAACUCGGACCAGCUGGCUAACACCCCUGCCUCUGCCAUGGAGUUGGAAGGGCGAGACACUGACCCAGUAGUCGAUCAUGUGGCAACAACUAGGAACUCGGACCAGCUGGCAAACAACCCUGCCUCUGCCAUGGAGUUGGAAGGGGGGAGACACUGACCCAGUGGUCGAUCAUGUAGCAACAGCCAGGGUGAGUCAAAGCGGACACAGUUGAUGAGGAAAUAUGCAUCCAGCAUUGGAAGCACAAUUUUUCUUUAAAAAAAUACAAUUUAUUUAAUUUAAUUUACAUAAUGCCCUGUCUGUUGGUUUGUUUGUUUGUGCAAACCUUAACAUUUGCAAUAACUUUUGCAAUAUUAAAGGUAGCAACUUCAUAUAUAGCAUGCAUGUGCAUCUCAAGGAGCUACACACUUUGAGUUGUGUAAGGUCAAGGUAUUAUUUUUUUGGUAAAAUUGAUGAAUUAAUAUGAUAUCUCUUUGCAAAUUGUUUUAAAAUUAAUACAUAACUUGUUUCAGAAACAUUGUUUAAUAACAUUCAAUUGUCAUUUAUUCGAAUUUGAAAGUUGUCAAAAGUAAUUAUUUCUCCCUAUACGGUAGCUUUAGGUAUAUGUGAUAUUUCAUGAGAAAACUAGUCUUCAUUGCAUUACAAAUUAAUGAAGCAUUCUUUACAUUUGCUUUUAUAACAAAAAAACCUAGUUUAGACUUGUAAAAUUGAUAAAAAUAAUUAUUUGAACAUAAAGUUUGACCAGAGUGUACAAUUUAAACACACAAGUUUAUAACGACGUGUAUCUUGUGCUUUGCAUUUGUUUAAAAGUUGCCUUAUAAUUGUGCGAAGCAUGUCUUCUCAAAUUAAAAAUGCAUCUUAUUCAAAGGUGAUCAGAACUAAAUGUGUUUUUUUUAAUAAUUCAGGGAUAACAAAAAUCAGACUAAGAAACCAUAUGCAAUAAUUCAUAGUCUGUUGUCUUCACAGAGAGAAACUUCAAUAAAAAAUAUGCUGUCAUUUUAUAAUACCUUCGUGUUUGCCUCACGGUUGCCUAUUGAUUUGUUUUAAAAUAGGAAGUUUAUAAUGAGGUAUAUAACACAAAGAAAUUUCAUAUUUGAAUCAUUUUUAUGCUCCUCUAAAAAAUUCUUGUCUGAGCUUUUUCUCAGUAACUUAUUACGGGAAUUCAAUGAAACUUUAUGGGAAGCUUCACUACCAAGAGGAGAUGUGCAUGUUAUUAGCCAGUUAUGGUCGGAUGAUUUUUCACAGAGUUAUGGCCCAUUGAAAUUUUCCAUUUACUGUACAUAUUGUGCAUUCUUGUUCGGGCUAUUUCUCAGCAACUAAUGUCUGCAAUUGAAUGAAACUUUAUGGGAAGCUUCACUACCAACAGGACAUGUGCAUAUUAUCAGCAAGUUAUGGUCGGAUGAUUUUUCACAGAGUUAUGGCCCUUUGAAAUUUUCAAUAUACUGUACAUAUAGUGCAAUUCUUGUCUGGGCUAUUUAUCCCCAACUAAUGACUUGAAUUCAAUGAAGUUUUAUGGGAAGCUUAACUGCCUUGAAGAGAUGCGCGUGUUAUUUGUGGGUUCUGGUUAGAUGAUUUAUUUAGAGACUUAUGGCCCUUUGAAAUUGUUAAGUUGCUAAACCAUCCAUCCUAUUAUUUUGUCCAAAGUUAUGCCACUCAAGAUGUUUCCUUUUAUCUGAAUAUAUAGUGCAAUAUUGUGACCAAAAAAACUUUGGGGAGCUUCACCCAUCUCUGACGGCUUGUUUUAAUUAAAUAUUAAUUGUAAAUCCCAUAUCACCUUUUAUCAUACUUUUUUGUAAUUGACAACUUGGUUUUCUGACAAUUGUUUUCCUUGUUUUGUUUCAAAUAGGCAUGAUAUGGUUACUAUUAAAUCAACUUCAUAUGUUCUUCCCUUGUGAUAAGUAUUUUUAGCUCAUCUAUUUUUUGAAAAAAAAUUAUGAGCUAUUGUCAUCACCUUUGCGUCGGCGUUGGCGUCCGGUUAAGUUUUGCGUUUAGGUCCACUUUUCUCAGAAAGUAUCAAUGCUAUUGCAUUCAAACUUGGUACACUUACUUACCACCAUGAGAGGACUGGGCAGGCAAAGUUAGAUAACUCUGGCGUGCAAUUUGACAGAAUUAUGUGCCCUUUUUAUACUUAGAAAAUUGAAAAUUUUGGUUAAGUUUUGCGUUUAGGUCCACUUUUCUCAGAAAGUAUCAAUGCUAUUGCAUUCAAACUUGGAACACUUACUUACUAUCAUGAGGGGACUGGGCAGGCAAAGUUAGAUAACUCUGGCACGCAUUUUGACAGAAUUAUGUGCCCUUUUUAUACUUAGAAAAUUGAAAAUUUUGGUUAAGUUUUGUGUUUAGGUCCAUUUUAUUCCGUAAGUAUCAAAGCUAUUGCUUUCAUACUUGCAACACUUACUAACUAUCAUAAGGGGACUGUGCAGGCAAAGUUAUGUAACUCUAACUGGCAUUUGGGCAGAAUUAUGGGCCCUUUAUACUUAGAAAAUUGAAAAUUUGGUUAAGUUUUGUGUUUUGGUCCACUUAACCCCUAAAGUAUCAUAGAUAUUGCUUUCAUACUUGGAACACUUGCAAACUAUCAUAAGGGUACAGUAAAAGGACAAGUUGCAUAACUCUGGUUGUCAUUUUUAUGGAAUUAUGGCCCUUUUUUGACUUAGUAACUUUGAAUAUAUGGUUAAAUUUUGUGUUUCGAUCCACUUUACUUCUUAACUAUCAAGGCUAUUGCUUUCAAACUUCAAAUACUUUCAUGCUAUCAUGAGGUGACUGUACCUGGCAAGUUGAAUUUUACCUUGAAUCCCCC